rnacentral:rRNA from 1 species
GAUCUGGCUCAGGAUGAACGCUAGCUACAGGCUUAACACAUGCAAGUCGAGGGCAGCAGGACGAUAGCUUGCUAUUGUUGCUGGCGACCGGCGCACGGGUGAGUAACGCGUAUCCAACCGUCCCCUUAGUAGGGCAUAGCCCGGUGAAAAUCGGAUUAAUACCCUAUGUUGUGUCAUGAGGACAUCUGAAUAACACUAAAGAUUUAUCGCUAAGGGAUGGGGAUGCGUCCGAUUAGGUAGUCGGCGGGUAACGGCCCACCGAGCCCUCGAUCGGUAGGGUUCUGAGAGGAAGGUCCCCCACACUGGUACUGAGACACGGACCAGACUCCUACGGGAGGCAGCAGUGAGGAAUAUUGGUCAAUGGGCGUAAGCCUGAACCAGCCAAGUAGCGUGCAGGAUGACGGCCCUAUGGGUUGUAAACUGCUUUUAUACGGGGAUAAAGUGAGGGACGUGUCCCUUAUUGUAGGUACCGUAUGAAUAAGGACCGGCUAAUUCCGUGCCAGCAGCAGC